rnacentral:rRNA from 1 species
UAUGUGAUCGUCUCUCGCAUAUCAAUAAGCGGAGGAAAAGAAACUAACAAGGAUUCCCCUAGUAACGGCGAGCUGAAGCGGGAAGAGCUCAAAUUUGAAAUCUUAAAGGGUUUCCCUUUACGAAUUGUAGUUUAAAGAAGUGUUUUUCUGUUGAGGUUUUGGUAAAAGUUCUUUGGAAUAGGACAUCAUAGAGGGUGAGAAUCCCGUAUUUGACCUUUACUUUCAACUUUGUGAUACACUUUCAAAGAGUCGGAUUGUUUGGGAAUGCAGUCCAAAAUGGGUGGUAAAUUUCAUCUAAAGCUAAAUAUUGGCGAGAGACCGAUAGCGAACAAGUACCGUGAGGGAAAGAUGAAAAGAACUUUGAAAAGAGAGUUAAACAGUACGUGAAAUUGUCAAAAGGGAAGCGUUUGGACACCAGUGUUGUUUUUUCUGAAAAUCAAUUAAAGAACUGUUUAUGCUAAGCUGUUUAGACUUUAUCAGCUAAUCUGUUUAGUUUUGAGCUUUUCUUUAAUGCACUUUUCAGUUAACAAGUCAACAUCAAUUUCUUUUGCUGUAAAAAAGCUUGAGGAAGGUGGCUUGAGAUUCGUCUUAAGUGUUUAUAGCCUCUUGCCUAUGCAGUCGGAGAGAUUGAGGUCUGCAGCGUAGAUCCUUCGGGGCUAAAUGCAUUUGUGCUAAGUUAUAGCAUUUUAUAGACAACUUGUUGACUAUGAUUUGUCUUGUAGCUUACUCGCUUAUGUUAUUUUACCUACGCUUAGGAUGUUGAAGACUCUACAGAGAUA